rnacentral:rRNA from 1 species
GUGUCAGCAGCCGCGGUAAUACAGAGGGGGCAAGCGUUGUUCGGAAUUACUGGGCGUAAAGGGCGCGUAGGCGGCCGCCUAAGUCAGACGUGAAAUCCCUCGGCUCAACCGGGGAACUGCGUCUGAUACUGGGUGGCUUGAAUUCGGGAGAGGGAUGCGGAAUUCCAGGUGUAGCGGUGAAAUGCGUAGAUAUCUGGAGGAACACCGGUGGCGAAGGCGGCAUCCUGGACCGAGAUUGACGCUGAGGCGCGAAAGCCAGGGGAGCAAACGGGAGGAUAAACCAUCGGAUUAC